GAUGAACGCUGGCGGCGUGCCUAAUACAUGCAAGUCGAGCGAACAGACGAGGAGCUUGCUCCUUUGACGUUAGCGGCGGACGGGUGAGUAACACGUGGGUAACCUACCUAUAAGACUGGGAUAACUUCGGGAAACCGGAGCUAAUACCGGAUAAUAUUUCGAACCGCAUGGUUCGAUAGUGAAAGAUGGCUUUGCUAUCACUUAUAGAUGGACCUGCGCCGUUUUAGCUAGUUGGUAAGGUAACGGCUUACCAAGGCAACGAUACGUAGCCGACCGGAGAGGGUGAUCGGCCACCCUGGAGCUGAGCCACGGUCCAGACUCCUACGGGAGGCAGCAGUAGGGAACCGUCCGCAAUGGGCGAAAGCCUGACGGAGCAGCGCCGCGUGAGUGAUGAAGGUCUUCGGAUCGUAAAACUCUGUUAUUAGGGAAGAACAAACGUGUAAGUAACUGUGCACGUCGUGACGGUACCUAAUCAGAAAGCCACGGCUAACUACGUG
rnacentral:rRNA from 1 species